rnacentral:rRNA from 1 species
UACGAACUGUGCAAACGUUAUUCGGAGUCACUGGGCUUACAGGGUGCGUAGGCGGCCUGACAAGUAGGGUGUGAAAGCCCCCGGCUCAACCGGGGAAUGGCGCCCUAAACUGUCGGGCUGGAGUGAGAUAGGGGUGUGCGGAACUUCCGGUGGAGCGGUGAAAUGUGUUGAUAUCGGAAGGAACGCCGGUGGCGAAAGCGGCACACUGGAUCUCAACUGACGCUGAGGCACGAAAGCCAGGGGAGCGAACGGG